GAGGAUAUAGCUCAGUUGUUAGAGUGUUUGCCUACCAUGCACCAGGCCCUGGGUUCAAUUCCCAGCACCACCA
rnacentral:tRNA from 1 species